rnacentral:rRNA from 1 species
UACGAAGGGUGCAAGCGUUACUCGGAAUUACUGGGCGUAAAGCGUGCGUAGGUGGUUGUUUAAGUCUGUUGUGAAAGCCCUGGGCUCAACCUGGGAACUGCAGUGGAAACUGGACGACUAGAGUGUGGUAGAGGGUAGCGGAAUUCCUGGUGUAGCAGUGAAAUGCGUAGAGAUCAGGAGGAACAUCCAUGGCGAAGGCAGCUACCUGGACCAACACUGACACUGAGGCACGAAAGCGUGGGGAGCAAAC